GAUCAUGGCUCAGGACGAACGCUGGCGGCGCGCCUAACACAUGCAAGUCGAACGGAGAUUACAGGCGGAAGUUUUCGGAUGGAAGCUUGUAAACUUAGUGGCGGACGGGUGAGUAACACGUGAGCAACCUGCCUAUCAGAGGGGGGAUAACGAUUGGAAACGAUCGCUAAUACCGCAUGACAUAGCGGAACCGCAUGGUUCUGUUAUCAAAGAUUUUAUUCGCUGAUAGAUGGGCGUCGCG
rnacentral:rRNA from 1 species